AGCUUUGCACAGUGGUAGUAUCGUAGCCAAUGAGGUUUAUCUGAGGCACGAUUAUUAAUAAUUAAAUCGAUAGGCCAAUGUCCCCCAAAACAAAGUUCAAGAGUAGGAUCAGGGUUUAUUUAGAUAAAGUCAGCAU
rfam:Mustela putorius furo unplaced genomic scaffold scaffold00341, whole genome shotgun sequence.